GGGGUAUGGCGUGGAGCGCCUAUGAAUGACUCUUAAUCAGCGGGUCCUAGGUUCGAGCCCUAGUGCGUCCACCA
rnacentral:tRNA from 1 species